CCUAUGCUUCCGCCAGCGGUCCCCUUUUUGGGGCCCCAGCUUCAGUGCAGCAAAGGGGUUUCGGCUCCCAAGCGGUCUGACGCCCUGUCACGGUUUCCCUGCGGAGCUGUGCCCGGGGCCCCGACGGAUUCCGGUCCGUCGCAGGGGUGGCCCUCCACCUCGAUACCCGUCCCUCGAGGAACGACUCGAUGA
rfam:Marine metagenome ctg_1101667380532, whole genome shotgun sequence.